UACGGGGCGCAGCAGGCGCGAAACCUUCGCAAUGCGCGAAAGCGUGACGAGGUUAAUCCGAGUGACUCCCGCUGAGGGGGUCUUUUGUCAGCUGUAAAUAGGCAGGCGAAUAAGGGGAGGGCAAGCCUGGUGUCAGCCGCCGCGGUAAUACCAGCUCCUCGAGUGGUCGGGGCGAUUAUUGGGCCUAAAGCAUCCGUAGCCGGUUCCGUAGGUCCUCUGUUAAAUCCAACCGCUCAACGGUUGACCUGCAGAGGAUACCGCGGGACUAGGAGGCGGGAGAGGCGGACGGUACUCCGCGUGUAGGGGUAAAAUCCUUUGAUCCGCGGAAGACCACCAGUGGCGAAGGCGGUCCGCCAGAACGCGCUCGACGGUGAGGGAUGAAAGCUGGGGGAGCGAACCGGGUUAGAUACCCGCGUGGUCCCAGCC
rnacentral:rRNA from 1 species